UACGUAGGGUGCAAGCGUUGUCCGGAUUCAUUGGGCGUAAAGAGCGUGUAGGCGGCCCGGUAGGUCGGUUGUGAAAACUGGAGGCUCAACCUUCAGAGGUCGACCGAAACCAUCUGGCUAGAGUCCGGGAGAGGAGAGUGGAAUUCCUGGUGUAGCGGUGAAAUGCGCAGAUAUCAGGAAGAACACCCGUGGCGAAAGCGGCUCUCUGGAACGGUACUGACGCUGAGACGCGAAAGCGUGGGGAGCGAACAGG
rnacentral:rRNA from 1 species